rnacentral:rRNA from 1 species
UGCAUCCGAUACUGCCAGGCUAGAGUAUGGUAGAGGUGGGCUGGAAUUCCCGGUGUAGNCGGUGAAAUGCGUAGAUAUCGGGAGGAACGNCNGUGGCGAAGGCGGCGCUCUGGACCNAUACUGACGCUGAGGUGCGAAAGCGUGGGGAUCAAACAGGAUUAGAUACCCUGGUAGUCCACGCNNUAAACGAUGGANUACUGGACGUCGGNGCGCUUACGAGCCUGCUGCCGCGCAGCUAACGCAUUAAGUUCUCCGCCUGGGGAGUACGGCCGCAAGGUUGAAACUCAAAGGAAUUGACGGGGGCCCGCACAAGCGGUGGAGCAUGUGGUUUAAUUCGAUGCAACGCGAAGAACCUUACCUGCCCUUGACAUCCUCGGAAC